rfam:Ovis aries breed Texel chromosome 3, whole genome shotgun sequence.
UCCCUGAUAGCUCAGUUGGUAAAGAAUUCACCUGCAAUGCAGGAGACCCAGGUUCAAUUCCUGGGUAGGGAA